rnacentral:rRNA from 1 species
UACGUAGGGGGCGAGCGUUGUCCGGAGUUACUGGGCGUAAAGGGCAUGCAGGCGGUCCGACACGUUUUGUGUGACAGCGGGUGGCUUAACUACCCGAGGAUGCAAAAGACGGUUGGACUUGAGGACUCGAGAGGGACACGGAAUUCCGGGUGGAGUGGUGAAAUGCGUAGAGAUCCGGAGGAACACCGAAGGCGAAGGCAGUGUCCUGGCGAGUGACUGACGCUGAGGUGCGAAAGCGUGGGGAGCAAACAGG